rnacentral:sRNA from 1 species
CUGAGGCGGGUGGCAUGGCGGAGAAGGAUGACACCGGAGUUUGACGAAGAGGUGGUUUUUGAGAAUUCUCCACUUUACCAAUACUUACAGGAUCUGGGACACACAGACUUUGAAAUAUGUUCUUCUUUGUCACCAAAAACAGAAAAAUGCACAACAGAGGGACAACAAAAGCCUCCUACAAGAGUCCUACCAAAAUACCUGGGAUAUAGUAAUCACUCAAUGAAUAUAAACUGCACUUACUGGCAUGCUCAAGGAAUGGGCUAUUAAGCAAGGUAUCCUGUUAAAAGUGGCUGAAACCAUCAAAAGUUGGAUUUUUUUUUCUCAGUGCAAUAAGAAAGAUGACUUACUUCACAAGCUGGAUAUUGGAUUCCGACUCGACUCAUUACAUACCAUCCUGCAACAGGAAGUCCUGUUACAAGAGGAUGUGGAGCUGAUUGAGCUACUUGAUCCCAGUAUCCUGUCUGCAGGGCAAUCUCAACAACAGGAAAAUGGACACCUUCCAACACUUUGCUCCCUGGCAACCCCUAAUAUUUGGGAUCUCUCAAUGCUAUUUGCCUUCAUUAGCUUGCUCGUUAUGCUUCCCACUUGGUGGAUUGUGUCUUCCUGGCUGGUAUGGGGAGUGAUUCUAUUUGUGUAUCUGGUCAUAAGAGCUUUGAGAUUAUGGAGGACAGCCAAACUACAAGUGACCCUAAAAAAAUACAGUGUUCAUUUGGAAGAUAUGGCCACAAACAGCCGAGCUUUUACUAACCUCGUGAGAAAAGCUUUACGUCUCAUUCAAGAAACCGAAGUGAUUUCCAGAGGAUUUACACUGGUCAGUGCUGCUUGCCCAUUUAAUAAAGCUGGACAGCAUCCAAGUCAGCAUCUCAUCGGUCUUCGGAAAGCUGUCUACCGAACUCUAAGAGCCAACUUCCAAGCAGCAAGGCUAGCUACCCUAUAUAUGCUGAAAAACUACCCCCUGAACUCUGAGAGUGACAAUGUAACCAACUAUAUCUGUGUGGUGCCUUUUAAAGAGCUGGGCCUUGGACUUAGUGAAGAGCAGAUUUCAGAAGAGGAAGCACAUAACUUUACAGAUGGCUUCAGCCUGCCUGCAUUGAAGGUUUUGUUCCAACUCUGGGUGGCACAGAGUUCAGAGUUCUUCAGACGGUUAGCCCUAUUACUUUCUACAACCAAUUCACCUCCUGGGCCCUUACUUACUCCAGCACUUCUGCCUCAUCGUAUCUUAUCUGAUGUGACUCAAGGUCUACCUCAUGCUCAUUCUGCCUGUUUGGAAGAGCUUAAGCGCAGCUAUGAGUUCUAUAGAUACUUUGAAACUCAGCACCAGUCAGUACCGCAGUGUUUAUCCAAAACUCAACAGAAGUCAAGAGAACUGAAUAAUGUUCACACAGCAGUGCGUAGCUUGCAGCUCCAUCUGAAAGCAUUACUGAAUGAGGUAAUAAUUCUUGAAGAUGAACUCGAAAAGCUUGUUUGUACUAAAGAAACACAAGAACUAGUGUCAGAGGCUUAUCCCAUCCUAGAACAGAAAUUAAAGUUGAUUCAGCCCCACGUUCAAGCAAGCAACAAUUGCUGGGAAGAGGCCAUUUCUCAGGUCGACAAACUGCUACGAAGAAAUACAGAUAAAAAAGGCAAGCCUGAAAUAGCGUGUGAAAACCCACAUUGUACAGUAGUACCUUUGAAGCAGCCUACUCUACACAUUGCAGACAAAGAUCCAAUCCCAGAGGAGCAGGAAUUAGAAGCUUAUGUAGAUGAUAUAGAUAUUGAUAGUGAUUUCAGAAAGGAUGAUUUUUAUUACUUGUCUCAAGAAGACAAAGAGAGACAGAAGCUUGAGCAUGAAGAAUCCAAGAGGGUGCUCCAAGAAUUAAAAUCUGUGCUGGGAUUUAAAGCUUCAGAGGCAGAAAGGCAGAAGUGGAAGCAACUUCUAUUUAGUGAUCAUGGUAAGCACUGACUUUAAAGUAACAGAUUAUUUCAAUGUAGGGGAUUCUUUCUUGAACCAUGAGUGUUAUUUUAGCUGAAGAAUUCUUGGGGUUUAUAAGGGUCCACCAGUAUGGAUAGUACUUUUUCUUCUAGAUGCUAAAUGAAUUUGAUUAAUAAAAGAGUAGGAAUGUAACCACAUUGGAAAUAUGAAGUCAUACUUUUUUAUCAGUUAUUUAAUUUUUUAGUAAAUUUGUUUUAGGAUGGGCAGUGAGUUGAAUAAUUUGGGAUAUUUUAAGUGUUAUUUUCAAAUUUAGUGAAUUUGAGAUUCUCAACUCUGUUGUCCAUAUGUUAAAAUAUUUAAAAAUACCUCAGUGAAGCACAAAAUUAAUAACUGUGUUCACAUUGAAAAAAAUGGCCCAGGCGCAGCGGCACAUGCCUGUAAUAUCAGCACGUUGGGAAGCUGAGGCGGGUGGAUCAUUUGAGGUCAGGAGUUCAAGACCAGCCUGGCCAACAUGGCGAAACCCCGUCUCUACUAAAAAUACAAAAAUUAACCAGGCAUGGUGGCGCGUGCCUGUAGUCCCAGCUACUCGAGAGGCUGAGGCAGGAGAAUCACUUGAACCCGGAAGGCAGAGGUUUCAGUGAGCUGAGACACGCCACUGCACUCCAGCCUGGGCAACAGAGGGAGACUCCAUCUCAAAAAGAAAAAAAAAGAAA